UUCUAGCUUCAUUUGAAAUAAUUUAGCGUUUUUAUUGAAAAUAACUGCUUAAUAUCGAUAGAUUAGUCUUUCCUCUACCUGCUGCAACCGUUUUUCUUUCUUUAUACACGAUUAAACAAUAGUUAACACGAUUUUGCUGCAUGUCGUCCCCAGCGACGGAUUAUUAUGCUUUUGUCAUUUUUCCUAGUCUAGUCCUCAUAUCACGGAACACACUGACGCCAAAUAUCAAUUGAUUAGUGCAUUCUGCGUCUAAAUACAUCUACUUCUCUUCAUAUAUCCGCUGUUUUAUUACAGGAUUCCCCCUUACUUCACGUUUUCUGAAGGAGCACAGAAUCCACGGCUACAUGGCGCACACUAAGCAAUGCAAUAUUGUCCCUAAAUACGUUACCAAGACCAUUUCAGAAAUUGAACUCAUUUAAUUUGACUAAUGAACUACCUCACGCGACACACCUCCUGGCCGAAGCAUUUCUUCGCAUUUCAAUGUAGAGCUCAGAAGAAUGUUUUUUAAUCCAGCCAUAGUAUAACUCUGCUAAAGAAGUAGACAUUGUGGUAUAUUCCAGAAAUCAGUUUCACCUCCUUUCCUCAAUUUUUUUCAUUACUCAAUUCCCACACUUGACGACACGACGCAUCUCCUAGCCACUUGCCGAUGAUUCUUUCCAAUCUUAGAAAUUUUACUCCCCCACUGAGUCUAAAUAUAUUUAUGUUGUCUGUAACUAGAAAGCAUGCCCUGCCCUAGAAAUGAAUUUCAUGUCAUUUGUUCAAUUCUUUAUUUCCAGAAAUUACAUGGUUUGUCCUACAUUCCAUCCAAGCCGUCAGCAGAAAUUAUUGCAUGUUUUAAAAAUAUUUCUUCACUGCUCAGACUAAACAUAUAUAGAGCUUACAACUAGAAAUCAAGCUGUGCUCUAGAAAUGCAUGUAAUGCCAUUUGGUAAAUUUCUUAUGUGCAGAAAUGACACGUUUGAUCCUGCACUCCACCUCCCAAGAUGUUUAGCGGCACAACCUCCGAACCACCUGUUGAUAUUUCUUUCCAAAUUUAAAAAUAUUUCUACCUCACACACAUUCAAGGGCAUGUCAUCUCUCCGAACCACCUGCCGAUGUUUCUUUCCGAUGUUCAAAAUAUUUUUACCUCACACACAUUAAAGCUUGCACUUUCCAGGGUGCAUCACGCCUCCGAACCAUCCGCUCCUCAGCACCUUUCCAAUUUUACAAAUAUUUCUACCUCACACAUAUUUAAGGUAACUUCAUAUGCUAUAAAUGGACAUUCUAAACCCUUCUAGAAAUCAAUUUCAUAUCACUUCAAUCAUUUCGUGACCCACCAUGCAUUUCGCUCAAUGGCCCAUUUCUCAAGCACUCACCUGUGUUUCUUUCCGACGUUAAAAAUAUAUGCAACCCAAUGGCAUUCAGUUUAGCUCCAUGUCCUAUAAGUAGACACUCUGUAGUUUUCCAGAAACCAAUUUCACCUCAUUUGCUCAACGCUUUCCCCACCAAACUCUCACAUUUCGCUGCAGCACCCAUCUCCGAAGCACUUGCCGACAUUUCUUUCAUAUGUUAAAAAUAUUUCCACCCGAACUGGAUGCAAUUUAGGUCCAUAUCCUAUAAGUAG